rnacentral:lncRNA from 1 species
GGUGUUUAUAGCUGCUCCAUUGUCGACAAGCACUUUUGCCACUGGGACGUCAUUAACUAUAGCUUUAACGUAUAAUGGCCUCAGGUGUUUUGUCAACUUCAUGGCUGGCCGUUUAAAAACAACCUUUUCGGCAGCCUCUAUUUCUACCUCUUGCUUGUUUUCUGUCGAAUUAUCCCCUUGUGAUAGGUCGACGUGCAGUAUGCCUGUCUCCUGAAUUUCCUUCUUACUUUUUUCUAAUGCUUCCUCAUCAGUUAUCCAACCUGUGGGAGGGGGCAUUAUUUUUGGAGGUGACCCAUACUUCUCAGAGCGAAGCACUCUCUUCUUCCUUUUGGGUGUCCCGUACAGUACGUAGAAAUCAAAAGGACGCCCAGAUGGCUCCCCCAAUAAGUCUACUUCGCAAACUCCCUCUUGAUGUAGUUGCUUAAACAGAGUAUUGCGCGAUACUCCUCUCUUUUUCCUUUCUGCUUCUAGGUCGAUUUCUUCUUCAAUGUCUGUCAUCCCAUCGUCCUCUUCAUCGUUGUAGGCCUCUCCAGAAGUCUGACCUUCUUCACAUAUCAGCACACAGGUUUCUCCUUCGUUGUCCUCCCUCUCUUCUUCCUUUUCCUUAUUCUUGAACUCAGUGGCCAGUAGGUAAUUAUUGGCCACGACAGGAGGCAACGUACCGAAUUGGAUAGCAAAGGGCUGAUCUGGAUCUUCUUCAUCCCUUUUGUCCCUCUCAAACCUUGAUCUCCCAGAAGAGGUUUCUGGCAGUUCUUUCAUUGAUUCAUCUGUACCAGUCUCUUUAUUACCUUUGAGGACGUUUUGAUUGGCUACCUUGAGUAGUAGAGGUGUUUUAGGGUGUGGCAUUCCUUGUUGCUGCCUCAUCAUCCGUCCGUAGUUUCGCUGGAAACACCUUUGUUGAGUCCUAGUCAUCUCAUCGAAGGGUAUUGCUCUUCCUGCGCUGUACUGGAAAGAGUGCCAUGCAUUUGGCCGGCGAGGUUGCGGCCUAAAUGUUCUUCCAGUAUCUGCUGAUCUGAACUGCCUUUCAAAAGGCGGUCCUCUAUAGAAU